GGAGAGAGGGCGGUGUACGUGCCCCUCUGACCUUUGCUCUCCGUGACCUUUCACCUUUGCCCCGCAGUGUAUGUCAAGGAACACUGGAAGGAAGACUGGCUCUUCGGCUACCAGUUCCUCAAUGACCAGAAUCCCCUCCUCAUCCGGAAGUGCGGAAUGAUCCCGGACAAUUUCCCGGUGACGGAAGCCAUGGUCCGGAACACCCUGGGGAACGGCACGCUUCGGCAGGAGCUUGAGAUGGGGAGGCUGGACAU